rnacentral:rRNA from 1 species
CCUACGGGAGGCAGCAGUGGGGAAUAUUGCGCAAUGGGCGAAAGCCUGACGCAGCGACGCAGCGUGAGGGACGAAGGCCUUCGGGUUGUAAACCUCUUUCAGCGGGGACGAAGCGAAAGUGACGGUACCCGCAGAAGAAGCACCGGCUAACUACGUGCCAGCAGCCGCGGUAAUACGUAGGGUGCAAGCAUUGUCCGGAUUUAUUGGGCGUAAAGAGCUCGUAGGCGGCUUGUCACGUCGGAUGUGAAAACUCGGGGCUCAACCCCGAGCCUGCAUUCGAUACGGGCUAGCUAGAGUGUUGCAGGGGAGACUGGAAUUCCUGGUGUAGCGGUGAAAUGCGCAGAUAUCAGGAGGAACACCGGUGGCGAAGGCGGGUCUCUGGGCAACUACUGACGCUGAGGAGCGAAAGCGUGGGGAGCGAACAGGAUUAGAUACCCUGGUAGUCCACGCCGUAAACGGUGGGCGCUAGGUGUGGGGAACCUUCCACGUUCUCUGUGCCGUAGCUAACGCAUUAAGCGCCCCGCCUGGGGAGUACGGCCGCAAGGCUAAAACUUAAAUGAAUUGACGG